UGGGGAAUCUUGCGCAAUGAGGGAAACCCUGACGCAGUGACGCCGCGUGAGUGAUGAAGGCCUUCGGGUCGUAAAGCUCUGUGGGGAGGGACGAAUAAGUAUUGGCUAACAUCCAAUAUGAUGACGGUACCUCCUUAGCAAGCACCGGCUAACUCUGUGCCAGCAGCCGCGGUAAGACAGAGGGUGCAAACGUUGUUCGGAAUUACUGGGCGUAAAGCGCGUGUAGGCGGCGUAGCAAGUCGGGCGUGAAAGCCCACGGCUCAACCGUGGAAGAGCACUCGAAACUGCUGCGCUAGAGUUCUGGAGAGGAAGGCGGAAUGCUUGGUGUAGAGGUGAAAUGCGUAGAUAUCAAGAGGAACACCUGAGGUGAAGACGGGUUGCUGGGCUGACACUGACGCUGAGGCGCGAAAGCCAGGGGAGCAAACGGGAUUAGAUACCCCCGUAGUCCCUGAGCGGGCUGGCAAGGCGCAU
rnacentral:rRNA from 1 species